rnacentral:rRNA from 1 species
GACGAACGCUGGCGGCGUGCUUAACACAUGCAAGUCGAACGCUGAAGCUUGGUGCUUGCACUGGGUGGAUGAGUGGCGAACGGGUGAGUAAUACGUGAGUAACCUGCCCUUGACUCUGGGAUAAGCCUGGGAAACUGGGUCUAAUACUGGAUAUGACAUGCCACUGCAUGGUGGUGUGUGGAAAGGAUUUUACUGGUUUUGGAUGGGCUCACGGCCUAUCAGCUUGUUGGUGGGGUAAUGGCCUACCAAGGCGACGACGGGUAGCCGGCCUGAGAGGGUGACCGGCCACACUGGGACUGAGACACGGCCCAGACUCCUACGGGAGGCAGCAGUGGGGAAUAUUGCACAAUGGGCGGAAGCCUGAUGCAGCGACGCCGCGUGAGGGAUGACGGCCUUCGGGUUGUAAACCUCUUUCAGCACGGAAGAAGCGAGAGUGACGGUACGUGCAGAAGAAGCGCCGGCUAACUACGUG